rnacentral:rRNA from 1 species
UAGGGAAUCUUCCACAAUGGACGCAAGUCUGAUGGAGCAACGCCGCGUGAGUGAAGAAGGUCUUCGGAUCGUAAAGCUCUGUUGUUGGUGAAGAAGGAUAGAGGCAGUAACUGGUCUUUAUUUGACGGUAAUCAACCAGAAAGUCACGGCUAACUACGUGCCAGCAGCCGCGGUAAUACGUAGGUGGCAAGCGUUGUCCGGAUUUAUUGGGCGUAAAGCGAGCGCAGGCGGAAUGAUAAGUCUGAUGUGAAAGCCCACGGCUCAACCGUGGAACUGCAUCGGAAACUGUCAUUCUUGAGUGCAGAAGAGGAGAGUGGAACUCCAUGUGUAGCGGUGGAAUGCGUAGAUAUAUGGAAGAACACCAGUGGCGAAGGCGGCUCUCUGGUCUGCAACUGACGCUGAGGCUCGAAAGCAUGGGUAGCGAACAGGAUUAGAUACCCUGGUAGUCCAUGCCGUAAACGAUGAGCGCUAGGUGUUGGGGACUUUCCGGUCCUCAGUGCCGCAGCAAACGCAUUAA